AGUCCAAACGCUCCCAUAUCUCUACCAUGGCUUUGACUCCUCUCCUCUUCCUCCUCUUUACUUACUGCACAGGAGCAUUUGGCCAAUUCACUUUGACUCAGCCGCCCUCUCUGUCAGCAUCCCUUGGAGAAACAGUCAGGAUCUCUUGUUCCAAAAGCAGUGGAAAUAUCGGAGAGUACUACUCAUCCUGGUAUCAACAGAAGCCUGGCAGUGCCCCCAAGCUGAUUAUCUAUCAGCACAGCAGCAGACCCUCUGGAAUCCCAGAGCGAUUCUCCGGUUCCAUUCACAUUUCGUCCAGCUCUGCCACCUUAACCGUCUCUGGCAUUCAAGCAGAAGAUGAAGCCGGUUAUUACUGUGCAUCCUAUGCAGGCAGCGGCAAGUACACAAUGCUACGACCACACGGGGAAGUGAGACAAAAACCUCCUCGCAGCUGA